rnacentral:rRNA from 1 species
AUGGAUGGUCAUUACUCGGCUGCGUCGGCCUACAAGGUUCAAUUCCGGGGCUUAGUGGACACGGACCUUGUGCAGAAAGUCUGGAAGAUUUGGGCACCUCCAAAGUGCAAGUUUUUUGCGUGGCUCAUUAUUAACAAUAGGAUUUGGACAGCUGAUCGGCUACAAAAGCGGGGAUGGCCUAAUUGCAACUUAUGCCCCCUUUGUAAGCAAGUUCAAGAGACGGCGGCGCAUCUACUCCUCCGAUGCAGAUACACUGUUAGAGUUUGGGGUAUGAUAAAGGUUUGGCUUGGCCUUCAUGACGUGAACCUCCUGGAUUGGGGCCAUAUGGACUCCGUUAAAGAUUGGUGGGGAUACAACGCGUACAGAAUGACGCAACCCCGAAGGCCGCUCAUCUUCCUCAUCCUGCUCAUUUCAUGGGAGAUAUGGAAGGAACGGAACGCAAGGGUCUUCCGCAAUGCUACGGUGCCAGUCGGAGUUAUUGUCACAAAGAUAAAAGAGGAGUGUAGUCUGUGGUGUCUUGCUGGGGCUAAACACUUGCGUAACUUAUUGCCGCGAGAGUGA